rnacentral:rRNA from 1 species
AGGGAAUAUUGGGCAAUGGGCGAAAGCCUGACCCAGCCAUGCCGCGUGCAGGAUGAAGGCCUUCUGGGUUGUAAACUGCUUUUAUCAGGGAAGAAAAAGCUCCUGCGGGAGCAACUGACGGUACCUGAGGAAUAAGCACAGGCUAACUCCGUGCCAGCAGCCGCGGUAAUACGGAGGGUGCAAGCGUUGUCCGGAUUUAUUGGGUUUAAAGGGUGCGUAGGCGGCCUUUUAAGUCAGUGGUGAAAGCCCAUAGCUCAACUAUGGAACUGCCAUUGAUACUGAAAGGCUUGAGUACAGACGAGGUUGGCGGAAUGGAUGGUGUAGCGGUGAAAUGCAUAGAUACCAUCCAGAACUCCGAUUGCGUAGGCAGCUAACUAGGCUGUAACUGACGCUGAGGCACGAAAGCGUGGGGAGCAAA